rnacentral:tRNA from 1 species
GCGGGUAUGGUGGAAUUGGUAGACACAUCAGACUUAGGAUCUGAUGCCGAAAGGCGUGGGGGUUCGAGUCCCUUUACCCGCACAA